rnacentral:rRNA from 1 species
CAGCCCCCUGAGUGGUAGGGACGAUUAUUUGGCCUAAAGCGUUCGUAGCCGGCUUAGCAAGUCUUUCGUUAAAUCCGGCGACUUAAUCGUCGGGCCGCGAGAGGUACUACUAGGCUAGAGGACGGGAGAGGUCGACGGUAUUCCGGGGGUAGGGGUAAAAUCCUAUAAUCCUCGGAGGACCACCAGUGGCGAAGGCGGUCGACUAGAACGUGCCUGACGGUGAUGGACGAAAGCUGGGGGAGCAAACCGGAUUAGACACCCGGGUAGUCCCAGCCGUAAACGAUGCGGGCUAGGUGUUGGGUCAGCCACGAGCUGCUCCAGUGCCGCAGAGAAGUCCUUAAGCCCGCCGCCUGGGAAGUACGGUCGCAAGGCUGAAACUUAAAGGAAUUGGCGGGGGAGCACCACAAGGGGUGAAGCCUGCGGUUCAAUUGGAGUCAACGCCGGGAAACUUACCGGGGCUGACAGCAGGGUGAAGGCCAGAUUAAAGAUCUUGCCAGACAAGCUGAGAGGUGGCGCAUGGCCGUCGACAGUUCGUGCCGUGAGGUGUCCUGUUAAGUCAGGUAACGAACGAGACCCCCACCAUUAAUUGCCAGCGGAUCCCGAUGGGAUGCCGGGCACAAUAAUGGGACUGCCGCCGAUAAGGCGGAGGAGGGAGGGGGCCACGGCAGGUCAGUAUGCCCCGAAUGCCCCGGGCCACACGCGGGCUGCAAUGGUAGGGACAGAGGGCCCCAACCUCGGAAGGGGAAGGCAAUCCCUAAACCCUACUUCAGUUGGGAUCGAGGGCUGAAACUCGCCCUCGUGAACAUGGAAUCCCUAGUAACCGCGUGUCAUCAUCGCGCGGUGAAUACGUCCCCGCUCCUU